UGGGCACUCUAAAGGGAACUGCCGGUGUUAAACCGGAGGAAGGUGGGGAGUGACGUCAAGUCCUCAUGGCCUUUAUGACCAGGGCUACACACGUACUACAAUGGCCGAUACAAAGGGCGAGCGACACUGCGAGGUGAAGCCAAUCCCGUAAAAUCGGUCUCAGUCCGGAUUGGAGUCUGCAACUCGACUCCAUGAAGUUGGAAUCGCUAGUAAUCGUGGAUCAGCAUGCCACGGUGAAUACGUUCCCGGGCCUU
rnacentral:rRNA from 1 species